rnacentral:rRNA from 1 species
CUACGUGCCAGCAGCCGCGGUAAUACGUAGGUCCCGAGCGUUGUCCGGAUUUAUUGGGCGUAAAGCGAGCGCAGACGGUUACUUAAGCAGGAUGUGAAAUCCCCGGGCUCAACCUGGGAACUGCGUUCUGAACUGGGUAACUAGAGUGUGUCAGAGGGAGGUAGAAUUCCACGUGUAGCAGUGAAAUGCGUAGAGAUGUGGAGGAAUACCGAUGGCGAAGGCAGCCUCCUGGGAUAACACUGACGUUCAUGCUCGAAAGCGUGGGUAGCAAACAGGAUUAGAUACCCUGGUAGUCCACGCCCUAAACGAUGUCAAUUAGCUGUUGGGCAACUUGAUUGCUUAGUAGCGUAGCUAACGCGUGAAAUUGACCGCCUGGGGAGUACGGCCGCAAGAUUAAAACUCAAAGGAAUUGACGGGGACCCGCACAAGCGGUGGAUGAUGUGGAUUAAUUCGAUGCAACGCGAAGAACCUUACCUGGUCUUGACAU